GGAGAGAUGCUAGAGUGGUUGAAUAGGCCGGUCUCGAAAACCGGUGUUCGCCAAGGUGAACCGAGGGUUCGAAUCCCUCUCUCUCCGCAA
rnacentral:tRNA from 1 species